rnacentral:rRNA from 1 species
UGUCUCCCCCCUCCAAUCAGUGAAACUGAUCUCCCCGUGAAGAAGCGAGGAUACCCCUAUAAGACGAAAAGACCCCAUGGAACUUUAAACUAGUAUCACUUCCUCCACAUGACAUCACAUGACUACUAGUCUUUCGGCUGGGGCAACCACGGGAAAAAAUAAAACCCCCGAGAUGAAAGGAAAUAUCCUUAUCCCAGAACUACCAUUCCAAGAAUCAAAAAUGACACCAUUGACCCAAUACUUGAUCAACGAACCAAGCUACCCUGGGGAUAACAGCGCAAUCCAUUUCAAGAGCUCCCAUCAACAAAUGGGCUUACGACCUCGAUGUUGGAUCAGGAAAUCCUAGUGGUGCAGCCGCUACUAAAGGUUCGUUUGUUCAACGAUUAAAACCCU